AGUGAACGCUGGCGGUAUGCCUAACACAUGCAAGUCGAACGGCAGCACAGUAAGAGCUUGCUCUUACGGGUGUCGAGUGGCGGACGGGUGAGGAAUACAUCGGAAUCUACUUUUUCGUGGGUGAUAACGUAGGGAAACUUACGCUAAUACCGCAUACGACCUACGUGUGAAAGCAGGGGAUCUUCGGACCUUGCGCUAUUGAAUGAGCCGAUGUCGGAUUAGCUAGUUGGCGGGGUAAAGGCACACGUAGGCGACGAUCCGUAGCUGGUCUGAGAGGAUGAUCAGCUACAUUGGCAGUGAGAAAGGGUACCGACUCCGACGGGAGGAAGCAGCGGGGAAUAUUGGACGAUGGGGGAAAGCCUGAUCCUGCAAUACCGCGUAGGUGAAGAAGGACCUCGGGUUGUAAAGCGAUUUUGUUGGGAAAGAAAAGAAGCAGGUUAAUACGCCGCUGUUAUGACGGUACCGAAAGAAUAAGCACCGGCUAACUUCGUG
rnacentral:rRNA from 1 species